GAUGAAGAACGCAGCGAAAUGCGAUAAGUAAUGUGAAUUGCAGAAUUCAGUGAACCAUCGAAUCUUUGAACGCACAUUGCGCCCGGCAGUAAUCUGCCGGGCAUGCCUGUCCGAGCGUCAUUUCUGCCCUCGAGCGAGUCCAGCAUCUAGGUGCUGGGCCCGCCCGGCGUUGGGGCACUACGGGAAGCCCUGUGCUGUCCCCCGUAGGCCCCGAAAUGAAGUGGCGGUCCUGCCGCGGCGCCCCCUGCGUAGUAUAACAGCUCGCUCCGGGACCCGGUGGAGGCCUGCCGUCAAACCUUACUCUCUAAGUUUGACCUCGGAUCAGGUAGGGUUACCCGCUGAACUUAAGCAUAUCAAUAAGCGGAGGA
rnacentral:misc_RNA from 1 species